rnacentral:rRNA from 1 species
AUUGAACGCUGGCGGCAGGCCUAACACAUGCAAGUCGAGCGGAUGAAGGGAGCUUGCUCCUGGAUUCAGCGGCGGACGGGUGAGUAAUGCCUAGGAAUCUGCCUGGUAGUGGGGGAUAACGUCCGGAAACGGGCGCUAAUACCGCAUACGUCCUGCGGGAGCAAGUGGGGGAUCUUCGGACCUCACGCUCUCAGAUGAGCCUAGGUCGGAUUAGCUAGUUGGUGGGGUAAAGGCCUACCAAGGCGACGAUCCGUAACUGGUCUGAGAGGAUGAUCAGUCACACUGGAACUGAGACAGGGUCAAGACUACUAAGGGAGGCAGCAGUGGGGAAUAGUGGACAAUGGGGGAAAGCAUGAUCCAGCCAUGCCGCGUGUGUGAAGAAGGUCCUCGGAGUGUAAAGAACGUUAAGGGGGGAGGAAGGGCAGUAAGUUAAGACCUUGCUGUUUUGACGGUACUAACAGAAUAAGCACCGGCUAACCUCGUG